rnacentral:rRNA from 1 species
CCCUUAGAUGUUCUGGGCCGCACGCGCGCUACACUGACGAAGUCAGCGAGCAUGUCCUACGCCGACAGGUGCGGGGAAUCUUGUCAAACUUCGUCGUGAUGGGGAUUGAUUAUUGAAAUUCUUGAUCAUCAACGAGGAAUUCCUAGUAAGCGCAAGUCAGCAGCUUGCGUUGAUUACGUCCCUGCCCUUUGUACACACCGCCCGUCGCUCCUACCGAUUGAGUGCUCCGGUGAACAAUUUGGACUGCUUUGAUUCGAUUAGAAUUUGAAGCGGAAAGUUUAGUGAACCUUAUCACUUAGAGGAAGGAGAAGUCGUAACA